GACGAACGCUGGCGGCGUGCCUAAUACAUGCAAGUAGAACGCUGAAGGAGGAGCUUGCUUCUCUGGAUGAGUUGCGAACGGGUGAGUAACGCGUAGGUAACCUGCCUGGUAGCGGGGGAUAACUAUUGGAAACGAUAGCUAAUACCGCAUAACAGUAGAUAUCGCAUGAUAUCUACUUGAAAGGUGCAAUUGCAUCACUACCAGAUGGACCUGCGUUGUAUUAGCUAGUUGGUGAGGUAACGGCUCACCAAGGCGACGAUACAUAGCCGACCUGAGAGGGUGAUCGGCCACACUGGGACUGAGACACGGCCCAGACUCCUACGGGAGGCAGCAGUAGGGAAUCUUCGGCAAUGGACGGAAGUCUGACCGAGCAACGCCGCGUGAGUGAAGAAGGUUUUCGGAUCGUAAAGCUCUGUUGUAAGAGAAGAACGAGUGUGAGAGUGGAAAGUUCACACUGUGACGGUAUCUUACCAGAAAGGGACGGCUAACUACGUGC
rnacentral:rRNA from 1 species